AUUGAACGCUGGCGGCAGGCCUAACACAUGCAAGUCGAGCGGAUGAAGGGAGCUUGCUCCUGGAUUCAGCGGCGGACGGGUGAGUAAUGCCUAGGAAUCUGCCUGGUAGUGGGGGAUAACGUCCGGAAACGGGCGCUAAUACCGCAUACGUCCUGAGGGAGAAAGUGGGGGAUCUUCGGACCUCACGCUAUCAGAUGAGCCUAGGUCGGAUUAGCUAGUUGGUGGGGUAAAGGCCUACCAAGGCGACGAUCCGUAACUGGUCUGAGAGGAUGAUCAGUCACACUGGAACUGAGACACGGUCCAGACUCCUACGGGAGGCAGCAGUGGGGAAUAUUGGACAAUGGGCGAAAGCCUGAUCCAGCCAUGCCGCGUGUGUGAAGAAGGUCUUCGGAUUGUAAAGCACUUUAAGUUGGGAGGAAGGGCAGUAAGUUAAUACCUGGCUGUUUGGACGUUACCAACAGAAUAAGCACCGGCGAACUUCGU
rnacentral:rRNA from 1 species